rnacentral:rRNA from 1 species
UGGGGAAUUUUGGACAAUGGGGGCAACCCUGAUCCAGCCAUGCCGCGUGAGUGAAGAAGGCCUUCGGGUUGUAAAGCUCUUUCGGCCGGGAAGAAAUCGCAUAGGCUAAUACCCUGUGUGGAUGACGGUACCGGAAUAAGAAGCACCGGCUAACUACGUGCCAGCAGCCGCGGUAAUACGUAGGGUGCGAGCGUUAAUCGGAAUUACUGGGCGUAAAGCGUGCGCAGGCGGUUUAGUAAGACAGGCGUGAAAUCCCCGGGCUCAACCUGGGAACUGCGCUUGUGACUGCUAAGCUAGAGUACGGCAGAGGGGGGUGGAAUUCCACGUGUAGCAGUGAAAUGCGUAGAGAUGUGGAGGAACACCGAUGGCGAAGGCAGCCCCCUGGGCCGAUACCGACGCUCAUGCACGAAAGCGUGGGUAGCAAACA